GGAAGGUCCGGGCGUUAUCCGGAUUUAUUGGGUUUAAAGGGAGCGUAGGCCGGAGAUUAAGCGUGUUGUGAAAUGUAGAUGCUCAACAUCUGAACUGCAGCGCGAACUGGUUUCCUUGAGUACGCACAAAGUGGGCGGAAUUCGUGGUGUAGCGGUGAAAUGCUUAGAUAUCACGAAGAACUCCGAUUGCGAAGGCAGCUCACUGGAGCGCAACUGACGCUGAAGCUCGAAAGUGUGGGUAUCAAACAGGAUUAGAUACCCUGGUAGUCCACACAGUAAACGAUGAAUACUCGCUGUUUGCGAUAUACAGUAAGCGGCCAAGCGAAAGCAUUAAGUAUUCCACCUGGGGAGU
rnacentral:rRNA from 1 species